rnacentral:rRNA from 1 species
CAGGAAAGCUUGCUUUCGCUGACGACCGGCGCACGGGUGCGUAACGCGUAUGCAACCUACCUCAUACUGGAGGAUAGCCCCUGGAAACGGGGAUUAAUACUCCAUAGUAUCACGAAUUCGCAUGUUUUUGUGAUUAAAGUUUUUCGGUAUGAGAUGGGCAUGCGUCCCAUUAGCUUGUUGGUGAGGUAACGGCUCACCAAGGCAACGAUGGGUAGGGGGCCUGAGAGGGUGGUCCCCCACACUGGUACUGAGACACGGACCAGACUCCUACGGGAGGCAGCAGUGAGGAAUAUUGGUCAAUGGAGGCAACUCUGAACCAGCCAUGCCGCGUGAAGGAUGACGGCCCUAUGGGUUGUAAACUUCUUUUAUAGAGGAAGAAACUUGUCUACGUGUAGACAACUGACGGUACUCUACGAAUAAGGAUCGGCUAACUCCGUGCCAGCAGCCGCGGUAAUACGGAGGAUCCAAGCGUUAUCCGGAUUCAUUGGGUUUAAAGGGUCCGUAGGCGGGUCUUUAAGUCAGUGGUGAAAGCCGACAGCUCAACUGUCGAACUGCCAUUGAUACUGGAGACCUUGAGUACAAAUGAAGUAGGCGGAAUGAGUCAUGUAGCGGUGAAAUGCAUAGAUAUGACUCAGAACACCGAUUGCGAAGGCAGCUUACUAACAUGUAACUGACGCUGAGGGACGAAAGCGUGGGGAGCGAACAGGAUUAGAUACCCUGGUAGUCCACGCCGUAAACGAUCAUCACUCGCUGUUGGCGAUAUACUGUCAGCGGCCAAGCGAAAGUA